GCCUCCUCUUUUCGCAACAUUGACGCAAUGUAUAAAUGCUGGAACAAAAGGACAACUUCCUUGAAGCUUGGCGUAUAAUUACAAAAAAAGAGAGAAGGAGAGAGAGAGAGAGAGAGAGAGAGAGAGAGAGAGAGAGAGAGAGAGAGAGAGAGAGAGAGAGAGCCGCCUCGACUGGCGCGCGCUAAACGGAGCCCGGUGUGCCAGUUUGCUGGAAUAUUAUUUCUGAUUUUCGGCUCGAUGAGAUGGGAAUCGUAUCGCGCUGCUUUUCAGGUUUCCACCGCUGAAAACAAUUAAAGUGAGCGGUUACACACAAUUCUAGCCAUCGACAAUCCACAAUUCAAGACAUUGGCAUCUCCAAAUCUUGCCAUGGGUUUGGAAGCUUCGGUCUAUCCGGUUGCGCGCGCGGGGACCAGCGGGGGAGAGCGAGAGAGAGCGCGUCUGUUUUCGGUCGCGCGCGAGUGCGCGUGCGCGUGGCGCGCGGGGGGGGCCCUGGCGGUGCCAUAGCAGCACAGAAUGGUUUGUGAGUUUUUUAUUAAAGAGGGUGCAGGCCGUGCUGUGCUGCGGCAGCAACGCCGGGACGAGCGCGUUUCACCGGGGGAAUGAAAAAGGAAAGUAUGCAAAACGGUAGCCUGGUGAACGUCUCUGUGUGUGUGCAUGUGCGCGAGCGCGCGCGCGCGCGUGCGUGCGUGGCUCCUGACCAUCGCCGCGACUGGCUGCCUGGCUGUAGCAGCACGUAAAUAUUGGAGUUAAACCAAUAGUGAAUCCUCCAGUAUUGACCGUGCUGCUGAAGUUAGGCGGGCCGUUUACCGUCCACUCCUCUCUGCGUCCACUCGCGCCGCACAGGUCUCAUCCACGGAGAGGGGAAAGAGGAGGUAGGUCACAUCUCUUGACUUUAUCAUGCCAACAACCGUGAAAUAUAAAGUCUGAGCAGGCCUCUUUCAGCACCCUGAUCACUGCCAGUGUUUUUAAAGAAUGUAGCAGUUAACGUGAGAUUUUGUUUGCACAAGUAGCCUGAAUUAAUUAGAAGUAUAUUGCAUAUGUAUAAAUACACGUAUAAAGGCCAUAACCUUUCAUGCAAAAAAUGAUUACUCUGCAUUCAUAAUUCAAUGACAGAUUGCUAUGUAAUUGUUGUACAGAUGAUUUAUUGUGAAAGAAAAAUAAAGUCACAUCCAAAUAAAGAUGAACUUGUUUAUAAUUGAUUGUCUUGCUCUGCACAUCAAAUAUGAUCACUAUAGUAUAGAAAGCGAUGAUGUUACAUGAAUAUGCUGUAAUUUAUUUUAACAAAGAAUACAUCAUGACUAACUUCUUGUCAUGCAAACAACAUGUAAUAGAAAAACUGAAACAUUAUUAGACAGUCUAAGGAAUUAGCAUUAAAAAAAAAUCAUAAAUUACUGGUGGUUUUUCAAAACAUUACAUUAUUAUUGUCCCAAUUAAUAAAAUUAUAUUUAAUAUUUGUUAUUUUUUAGCAAAUGCAUCAUGCCCUAAAUAACACAGCAUCGCCAUCUUCUGGGAAACCUCAAAUUACCUCCGGUUCUCACGUUGGCUGGUGCUUCAUCCACUUUAUAGGGGUCGGUGAUAAAAAUAUUUCGAGUCCCCCUUCUCUCAAAUGUGUAACACUCAAUUUUCUCCUCUGGAGAAACUGUGCGGGUGCUGAUUAGGCGAAAGCCCUCGCUUACAAUCGUGUCCAC